AGAGGGUGCAAGCGUUAAUCGGAAUUACUGGGCGUAAAGCGCGCGUAGGCGGAUAUUUAAGUCGGAUGUGAAAGCCCCGGGCUCAACCUGGGAACUGCAUUCGAUACUGGAUGUCUAGAGUAUGGUAGAGGAAAGUGGAAUUCCCGGCGUAGCGGUGAAAUGCGUAGAUAUCGGGAGGAACACCAGUGGCGAAGGCGGCUUUUCUGGACCAAUACUGACGCUGAGGUGCGAAAGCGUGGGGAGCAAACAGGGAUUAGAUACCCUGGUAGUCCACGCCGUAAACGAUGAGAACUAGGUGUUGGGGGGGCGUGUCCCCCUUAGUACCGAAGCUAACGCGAUAAGUUCUCCGCCUGGGGAGUACGGCCGCAAGGUUA
rnacentral:rRNA from 1 species